GAUGAACGCUGGCGGCGUGCCUAAUACAUGCAAGUCGAGCGAAGCGGGGACGGGUGAGUAAAACGUGGAUAACCUCCUAUAAGACUGGGAUAACUUCGGGAAACCGGAGCUAAACCGGAUACUUAUCGAUGGAUCCGCGCUGCAUUAGAUAGUUGGUAAGGUAACGGCUUACCAAGGCAACGAUGCAUCGCCGACCUGAGAGGUGGAUCGGCCACACGGGAACUAAGACAGGGUCCAGACUCCAACGGAGGGCAGCAGGAGGUAAUCUUCCGCAAUGGGCGAAAGCCUGACGGAGCAACGCCGGGUGAGUGAUGAAGGUCUGCGGUUCGUAAAACUCUGUUAUUAGGGAAGCGGUACCGAAUCAGAAAGCCACGGCUAACUACGGGCCAGCCGCCGCGGAAAAC
rnacentral:rRNA from 1 species